UGCUUUUGAAGGCUCUUUGCAGUAUAGAUUUUGCUAAAUGAUUUCUCAAACACAGGGUCAUUUAUGCUUCUCAACCCGUCCUCGUAAAAGUUGUCUCCAGUAGAAACAACGAAAUCAAUGCUCAACUCUUCUCCUAUUCUUCCCAUCUGUUGCUCGAAACGCUGAAGCUCAGCUAAGGCACAAAGAACAUACACAUGGAAGCAGGCCAUCCAUACGACGUGCAUUGAACUGAAAUGGUGACUGAAACUAGCCAUGAUAUCCCGAAAAAGAGAACUUUUUAGUUAGCAGCUUUGGUUUGGAGUGCAAAAGAUGUGAACUCAGGUAACCUCUUUGAAGAGCAUAUAAUGUGGUACCUGGACACAAAAAUGGUGGUGUCUCUAAAGAUGUUCAAAGUCGAAAAAACCACCCGUUAGCUAGCUACAGAUAGUAUCCAUGCAGAUUCAGGAUAAGAGAUUCAAUGAGGGCAAAGGAAACUUCAUUCUAUUAAUGGGCUAAAUUCAUCCGUGGUCACCAUCGAAGUCCACUUUCCUGGAAAUUUCUUGUUUUGUCUUGUUCAAUACCAGAAGAGACGUAAACCUAUGAAAGAAAAUCAUUGAUGAGCAAGAGAAUUCAAGGAACGAAGAUGGGUUGAAGGUGGUGGUGCUAUAUUGGCGCUUGCUUGAUGUCACAAGGCUGCUGUCCUUUUGCCCUGACCCUGACAAUCCAUACUAAAAAGUUGGCUCUGCAAGUCUAUCACCAUUGGGUAAAUAAACCUCGCCAAUUGCUCACAUUGGCUGUAGAAUUAUUUGCCAUUCACCAAUCUCAUCCUUUGACUCUACCGUUAGUUACAAUUAAAUUGCAUGUAGUUAUCAGGAAAUUGGAUUAGUUCUUGUGUUGAAGCACUGAUUUACCAACUUUUUGGGUGCAAUAUUACUGCAAGGCCCAUUUUUCCUUUCCUUUUUUUAUUUUUGUUUAAUAAAAAAUUCAGUGGGGUUUGGUAAUAGUAAAAGCAAGGGAAUCCCAUGAAGAUUGCUAGAAGCUCUCCAUCAAUUUAAUCAUUUUCAUGACAUUAUAGAACUCUAUUUUUUUUUUCUUUUUUGAUGUGGCCCCAACUCUCUAUUAUCACAGUGCUCAAUGACAAUGAAACAUGAGCUCAAUAAUGAUAGGAAAAAAAUAAAAA